GAUGUUUGUGUUUAACCUCCUUGUCAAAGCCUGAUCUCGUCAGAUCUCUGAAGCUAAACAGGGCCGGGCUACCUUAGUACUUUGACAGUAGACCACCAGGAAUAGCAGGUACCAGUGUCG
rnacentral:rRNA from 1 species